AAACUCUUGUUGGAGAAGCAGGGCACGUGCAAAUCUCCGGGCUUGGUUUUCUUACAUCUGAAACUCGCCUUUUGCACGUGCUCCCCUUCUCCAACAUGGGUUC